rnacentral:misc_RNA from 1 species
AAGGAUCAUUACAGAGUUGCAAAACUCCCUAAACCAUCGUGAACCUACCGCUAAACAGUUGCUUCGGCGGGUGGCGGGCGUGCCCCCCCGGGGGGGAAGCCCGCCGCCGAGCCCGCCGGAGGAAAACCAAAACUCUUGUUUUUACUACCGGCCUCUCUGAGUAUACUUACUUAAAAUAAGUCAAAACUUUCAACAACGGAUCUCUUGGUUCUG